rnacentral:rRNA from 1 species
ACUCAAAUGAAUUGACGGGGGCCCGCACAAGCGGUGGAGCAUGUGGUUUAAUUCGAUGCAACGCGAAGAACCUUACCUACUCUUGACAUCCUGUGAAUUUGAUUGAAAGAUUGAAGUGCCGAAAGGAGCACAGAGACAGGUGCUGCAUGGCUGUCGUCAGCUCGUGUUGUGAGAUGUUGGGUUAAGUCCCGUAACGAGCGCAACCCUUAUCUUUAGUUGCUAACGAGUAAAGUUGAGCACUCUAAGGAGACUGCCGGUGACGAACCGGAGGAAGGCGGGGACGACGUCAAGUCAUCAUGGCCUUUAUGAGUAGGGCUACACACGUGCUACAAUGGGGCGUACAGAGGGUAGCGAAGCCGCGAGGCGGAGCCAAUCUCUUAAAGCGUCUCGUAGUCCGGAUUGGAGUCUGCAACUCGACUCCAUGAAGUUGGAAUCGCUAGUAAUCGCGGAUCAGCCAUGCCGCGGUGAAUACGUUCCCGGGCCUUGUACACACCGCCCGU